rnacentral:rRNA from 1 species
CCUACGGGAGGCAGCAGGCGCGAAACCUUUACAAUGCGGGCAACCGUGAUAAGGGAACCUCGAGUGCCUGUAAACGCAGGCUGUUCAGGUGUUUAAAACGCACCUGGAGAAAGGGCCGGGCAAGACCGGUGCCAGCCGCCGCGGUAAUACCGGCGGCCCGAGUGGUGGCCGCUUUUAUUGGGCUUAAAGCGUUCGUAGCUGGGUUGUUAAGUCUCUUGGGAAAUCUGGCGGCUUAACCGUCAGGCGUCUAAUGGAUACUGGCAAUCUUGGAACCGGGAGAGGUGAGGGGUACUUCGGGGGUAGGGGUGAAAUCCAGGAAUCCUCGAGGGACCACCUGUGGCGAAGGCGCCUCACCAUAACGGCUUCGACAGUGAGGGACGAAAGCUGGGUGAGCAAACCGGAUUAGAUACCCUUGUAGUC